ACGAACGCUGGCGGCGUGCUUCACACAUGCCAGUCGCACGGAAAGGCCCUGCUUUUGUGGGGUGCUCGAGUGGCGAACGGGUGAGUAACACGUGAGUAACCUGCCCUUGACUUUGGGAUAACUUCAGGAAACUGGGGCUAAUACCGGAUAGGAGCUCCUGCUGCAUGGUGGGGGUUGGAAAGUUUCGGCGGUUGGGGAUGGACUCGCGGCUUAUCAGCUUGUUGGUGGGGUAGUGGCUUACCAAGGCUUUGACGGGUAGCCGGCCUGAGAGGGUGACCGGCCACAUUGGGACUGAGAUACGGCCCAGACUCCUACGGGAGGCAGCAGUGGGGAAUAUUGCGCAAUGGGCGGAAGCCUGAUGCAGCAACGCCGCGUGCGGGAUGACGGCCUUCGGGUUGUAAACCGCUUUCGCCUGUGACGAAGCGUGAGUGACGGUAAUGGGUAAAGAAGCACCGGCUAACUACGUG
rnacentral:rRNA from 1 species